rnacentral:rRNA from 1 species
UACGAAGGGUCCUAGCGUUGUUCGGAAUUACUGGGCGUAAAGGGCGCGUAGGCGGCCUAUUAAGUCAGGUGUGAAAGCCCCGAGCUUAACUUGGGAACUGCACUUGAUACUGGUAGGCUAGAGAUCGGAAGAGGUGAGUGGAAUUCCUAGUGUAGAGGUGAAAUUCGUAGAUAUUAGGAAGAACACCAGUGGCGAAGGCGGCUCACUGGUCCGAUACUGACGCUAAGGCGCGAAAGCGUGGGGAGCAAACAGG